rnacentral:misc_RNA from 1 species
UAAUAAGUGUUUUAUGGCACUUUUUAAAUCCAUAUCCACCUUAUGUGCAAUGUCAGUCGAUCUUCUUCAUGGAGAUCGACCAAACAUCAACCUUUAUCUUUUAACUCUUUGUCUGAAAAAUAUUAUGAAUAAACAAUUCAAAAUA